UCGUAACAAGGUUUCCGUAGGUGAACCUGCGGAAGGAUCAUUACCGAGUGUAGGGUUCCUAGCGAGCCCAACCUCCCACCCGUGUUUACUGUACCUUAGUUGCUUCGGCGGGCCCGCCAUUCAUGGCCGCCGGGGGCUCUCAGCCCCGGGCCCGCGCCCGCCGGAGACACCACGAACUCUGUCUGAUCUAGUGAAGUCUGAGUUGAUUGUAUCGCAAUCAGUUAAAACUUUCAACAAUGGAUCUCUUGGUUCCGGCAUCGAUGAAGAACGCAGCGAAAUGCGAUAACUAGUGUGAAUUGCAGAAUUCCGUGAAUCAUCGAGUCUUUGAACGCACAUUGCGCCCCCUGGUAUUCCGGGGGGCAUGCCUGUCCGAGCGUCAUUGCUGCCCAUCAAGCACGGCUUGUGUGUUGGGUCGUCGUCCCCUCUCCGGGGGGGACGGGCCCCAAAGGCAGCGGCGGCACCGCGUCCGAUCCUCGAGCGUAUGGGGCUUUGUCACCCGCUCUGUAGGCCCGGCCGGCGCUUGCCGAACGCAAAUCAAUCUUUUUCCAGGUUGACCUCGGAUCAGGUAGGGAUACCCGCUGAACUUAAGCAUAUCAAUAA
rnacentral:misc_RNA from 2 species